UAGACUCAGUGUUCACACACACACACACUCUCUCUCACUGGUUAACUUACUCAGGUGGAGAAACAUGGAGAAGCUAUCAGUUCUUGAAUGAUCAUUCAUGGCGAAGUUUUGGGUUUUUGAUGGCAGAACAUUAGCAAAGAAAAUAAAGACAUCUGGUCUUCCUUCAGUAGAUGAAGUCAAGGACAGUGGAGCCAACUGGGAAUGUCCACAAUGCAGUUGCAGAAUAGAUAAAUGUGAUGAUUGGCCUGGGCUCCCCAGUGGAGUGAAAUUUGACCCAACUGAUGUUGAAUUGUUGGAUCAUUUAGCAGCUAAAUGUGGAGUUGGGAAUGAAAGGCCGCAUGAAUAUAUCGACGUGUUCGUUCCUACAAUCGAUGUUGAGCAAGGAAUAUGUUACAAACAUCCCGAAAAUCUACCUGGCGCAAGAAAAGAUGGUAGCAGUUUUCAUUUCUUCUAUCAGACCACAAACGCAUACGCCAAAGGCCAACGAAAGCGUAGGAAAGUCUGCAAUAGAUCUAAUGUAGAAAUGGAUGUCCGUUGGCACAAGACUGGCAACACUAAGGCCAUAUUUAAAAAUGGAGUACAAAUCGGAUGCAAAAAGAUAAUGGUACUUUAUGGGUUCACUGUUGGGGGAUCAAAACCUUGUAAAACGAACUGGGUUAUGCAUCAAUAUCAUCUAGGAACAAACGAAGAUGAGAAGGACGGUGAAUACGUGGUUUCAAAGAUAUUUUAUCAGGCACAAAAGGGGACUCAUGAGAACACUACUGUUUGUAUUGUAGAUGAAGAUUCGGAUCCUAGAACUCCAAUGAUCAAUGCUUCUGAUCCGUUACGGCCAGGAAAGACUCCCCUAUAUGAAGAUGUCACAUGUGAUUAUGUUAUCCAGUCACCAGCACAGGAAUCGGAGUGCUAUGAACAGAAAUACCUUGUUUCUUUUCCUACUGCUGAACUCAAGGAUGAUCUAAGCUUACCGGUUUGCGGGGAUGAUUCUAAAGCCAUAAAUUCGGAUGCAUUUCAUUACUCAUUCUCCGGAGAAGGCAAUAUGGAUGCCUAUUACCCUCUGUCGGGUUCGAGUUUCUGUACCAACAAUGCUGCAGGGGCCGCUAGGGACGUAUGUCCUGGAACCAUGGAGCUUAAGAAUCUGGACUUGGGUAGCCCACCUUAUGUCAACCUUGCGGUUUCGGAAUGCUCAAAGCCAAGAAGAUGAGACUGCGCAGACGAUAUAUAUAUAGGGUUACUGUGGUCAAGGAGACUGCACCAAUGAGAUGGGAGAGGGUCGAGUCACGAGGCCAUGUUCAGGAGAUUAGGGGGGAUGUGGUCGAACCAUGAGGUUGGCCAGUUGGGUACAAGGAUGGUGUUUGGAGAUAAUGCGGAGGAUUUGGUCGAGCCAAGUGGCUAGGGUCAGAAGAAAUGUGUCACUGAGGACAAGAAAGGAUCGUUGGCGAGUCACUGAGGAGGUUCCCUCUGCGACUUAACUCGUGGCGUGAGGGUAAAAUGGAGCUGUAUUUUCCAUGUGAAGAUAGCAAUUGUGGGCGGUUGGAUUGGUUAUGAGGAUGAAGUUUUCAAGUUUUAACCACAGUUUCUUUGGGAUAUCACACACCAGACAGACACACUCCUUAGCAACUUCCAUAAGAUUGGUUCAUGGAACACCAUCUUGUGGUUUCUAAGUUGGGACUCAUGUAUUUGGUAAUCAGUGACGUGUUUUCAGUGGACUAUGGUUGUCUUUGUAAUUAACUUAUGUGUUGUGUUGUUUAAGCCUGUCUGACAAUACAUUUAGGUACAAUGGUUUUUUUAUUUA